rnacentral:rRNA from 1 species
GACAGAGGGUGCAAACGUUGUUCGGAAUUACUGGGCGUAAAGCGCGUGUAGGCGGCAGCGUGUGUCGGGCGUGAAAUCCCACGGCUCAACCGUGGAAGUGCACCCGAAACUGCGCAGCUAGAGUCCUGGAGAGGAAGGUGGAAUACUUGGUGUAGAGGUGAAAUUCGUAGAUAUCAAGUGGAACACCGGUGGCGAAGGCGGCCUUCUGGACAGUGACGUGACGCUGAGACGCGAAAGCGUGGGGAGCAAACAGG